UCAGCAAACUGCUUCAUCCUGUGC
rnacentral:siRNA from 1 species